AUUUUAUUGAACCCAUGGCCUCAACUUGCUAGGCAAGCACUCUGUCACCAAAUCAUAUCCUGAGCCCUUUACCUUUGCUGGAGCAAAGGAGCAGAAGUCCUGUCCCAGCCUACAGGCCAUUUUCCAGCUUCUGCUGCCCUUCCAUCUUGCUCCCAUGCCUGGGAGUAAAAAGGCACCCAACAUUGAGUGGUUUUUGUAUAGGGAUGCUGACCCCUCACACUGGUUCAGAGCCCAGGAAUGCUUACUGAGCACACCCUUGAAAGUCCUCUUCCCAGCAGGGGCUGAGCAAGACCUUGGGACAUGCAAUGCAAUUCCACCACAAGGACGUCUCCUUUGCUCCAGCUAAGCACAGAGCUCGUGACAAUUAGUGCAGCCUUUGGUGAAAGUGCUGAUUCGGGAUUCCUUGCUGAGACUGUGGCCUGCAUGGUGUGGGAAAAGGGCAUGUAGCCUGGGAUACAGGGAUGGCCAGGAAAUGACUGAGCAGCCUAAAGGGCCAUGAACCCAGCAUUUUCAGCCAGAAAGGCUGAUAGUAUUUUUUCAAAGAGACUUCUAGAAGUUAGUACUUGUGUUGCAGAUAUGAACUUCACAGGCUUCCAACUUAGGUGCAAAAAUAUUGCUUUACUUUCCUAUAACUAAAAUUAAUUGCUAGUGCACGACAUUUCAAAUCUGGUGGGCCAAUAUGGUGACUUCUGAGUUCCUCUGGGUUUGUAAUUCGGUCACAGUUGGGACUUUGACCUUCCAGGUCCUCUCUAGGAGUGAUGCUGAGAAUGUUCAAUGGAACACUCUCAAAUGGAGUGAUGCUGAGAGUGUUCAAUGGAACACUCUCAAAUGGAACACAAUGGGGUAGGGUAGCCACUCAGUGGAAUCCUCUGGGAUCAUGUAUUUUUCUAGCCAUGGUUUUGUUGCUGGUUUUAUGUUUGUGCCUGUAUCUCCUCCUGUCCCUGUGGAGUCACCUGUUACUGUCCUCAGCUGCAUUCUUACCAUGGGCACAGGAAGGUGUGGCUGCUCUCCCAACCCUGUCUCCCUCCUCAUUAUGUUCAAAUGAGAAUCCUCAUGAGGUUUAAGGUGGCUGCAGACCCAGUCCCAGGGCUUUUCAGGCCUAGUUUUCAGAACAGUGACUGCUGGUAAACCUGUGAGUGAGAGAAGCACGAAGCAGGCAUUGGGGAAUGAGACCGUUGGCUUCUAGCUCACCCCCUUACCCCUUCAUCCUGCUUUCAAGCCUGGGAGGAGAAAGAAGCCAAACAAAAGGGGUACCUGCACACCUGUAAUCCCAAUGGCUCAGGAGGCUGAGGCAGGAAGAUUGCAAGUUCAAAGUCAGACUCAGCAAUUUAACAAGGUCCUAAACAACUCAGUGAGAUCCUGUGGGAGGUGUGUGGGGGUGGAGAGCCUCGAACCUCACCAUCUUGUCUGUCUUAUAUCUGAUGAGGCUUUUUUUUUAUAUAUAUAAAUACUGGGGAUUGAACUCAGAGGCACUCUACCACUGAGCCUUAUCCCCAGCCCUAUUUUGUCUUUUAUUUAGACACAGGGUCUCACUGAGUUGCUUAGUGCCUCGCUGUUGCUGAAGUUGGCUUUGAACUUGCCAACCUCCUUUCUUAGCCUCCCAAGCCACUGGGUUUACAGGCAUGCACCUGAUGAGGCUUUUGAAUCUGAACAUUCAAUAAUUUGAUGGCUAGGGAGUGAGAAGGAUCCCAAAUGGCUCCAGUGACUGGAUUCCAAAAUGAAAAUAUUGCUUUCUGCCCGCACCUUCUUAGUCACUGAGGCUGACUUGGUAGUUAGUUGGCAGAUGCCGCCCAGCCCUUCCUCUGUUUCAUUUCUUCUUCCCUUUUCUCACUUCUGGCCUCCUGUCUUUUGCUUCUUCCCCCUACUCCCAGAGCAUCAUUUCAACUCUUCCUCUUUAUUUUCUUGUUUUAUUUCUUUUUUCUUUUCUUUCCUCUCCAUUCCCAUCAGCCUCCCUCCAUCAUCUGCCCUGUUUACUUUCGUUGCCUUCCAGGGGUAGGGAGCUGAGGCUCUCUGCUUUGCUCUAGGUAGACCCAAGGUGGCCUCACUGAAGCCAGUCCAGGGGGCUGCUCACUCAGCUCUCCAGCGCAGACUCAGGGCCAGGCCUCCAAGCUCAGAAACCACUGGUGGCUUCUUCUUCUGGAUCAAGUCCCCAAGUCUCCCCACUCCCAGAAUCCUGGGCUGCUUCUGUGAUUAGAGAAAGGCCAUCUGUGUUUUCUGUCAAAGAGGCAUUGUGAGGACACAAGCAAAGAGACUUGCGUUUUAGCAAAGUCAUUAAAAACAGACAAAAUCCCUCUUAAAAGAGUUUUCUAGGACUCUGGAAACCCUGCAAAACAAUUGGGUUGGUGCCCAAUGGUGUCCUCUUUUUUACAAUAAUAGAAAAAAAAGUCAAGAAAAGUCAGAGAAACCAAUCUGUGUUAUUUAUUUAUUUACUUUUUUACAAUGAAGCCUUCCUUCUCGUCCUGGAGGCAGCAAAGUGGAGAUACUGUGUGGGGCUUUUGGAAGAGGCGGGAGGGGAAGAGUUGAGAAAGGAGCCCUAGCGUAGGCCCCUCUGAGGCCUGCUGUUCCUCCCUGUGUGCUGGGGUGUCUGGCCACCCAGGGCUGACCUGUCCUCCUUUCCAGGAUGCCUUUAGUUGCUGGUACUGCUUCGGGCACACUACUGCCCAGGGGGUCUCAAACCAUGGCCCUUGAGCCAAAUCCUGGCCUUGUUUUGGUGGGACUAUCAGCUGAUAAUGGUACUGGCAUUUUCAACAGUUGAAAACAAAAUCAAAGAAUGUUUCAUGAAGUGAAAACAUAUGAAAUUAAAGUUUCAGUGCACAUAAAUAAAGCUUCAUUGGAACCCAGCCUUACUCAUUGUCCAUUCAUCAUCUGUGGCUGCUUCUCCCUGUCAAGGCAAAUGAGACAGUUGUGCCUGCAGAGCCUGUGAUGCUCACCAUAUGGCCCUUGCAGAAAGUGCGUGGAAGCCUGCUGUAGCUGAUGCAUGUGAGGCUCUGGAUGCAUUAUGUUUUAACUUUGAGUUAGCUGUGAAUCUUAAGAAGUCAGGAUUUGUCAUUCUGGAUGUCCAGGUGAAUAGGGACUGGCUGCUUUAGAAGGGCACACAGUCUCUGGCUCUCCCAAUCCUUAUCGCUUCCUACCUCCUGCCCACAGCUGAGGUGGAGAGUUGGUGUCUGUUUAUCAUUCUCACCAGUCCUUAACUGUGAUUUGGCCUCUCAAUCUCCACUCUUAGACUUCCUGGAGGUAAUUCUGAUUGUCAGGAGUAGGAGGGUGCUGCUGGCAUCUAGUGGAUAGAAGCCAGCAGUGCUGGUAAUCAUCCUACCAUGUUGGGCCCCAAAUGAUGGCAGUGUCGAGGAUGAGAACCCUGUCCUGCCUAGACUCUGCCUUUGAGGCUCAUAGGGUUCUCCUGGGUGUCACUCAAGCAUCCACAGAUACCUCUAGAUCUCUUCCCCCACUUCCCCUCUCUCAAGUUGAAGCUUGUCUUGGUCUUAAUAUUAAAAAUUCCGAGAACUUUAAAUACCAAUUAUUUACAUCAUUCCUGAUUCACUCGUGGCAUGAUAUAUGUACACCUGUAUACAUUUUCAUCUGUGUGCAAGUAUAUAUUGAAUCUAUUGUAUUCUACCUUUACUUUCAUUUAUUAGUUCAUAUAUAAAAUGCAUGCAUGAAUAUAGUUUGUAGCAUUUUGAAUGGUCAUCCAUACUUCUGCUUUGUACCUUCAUAUUAUGGUUUGUUAAGGACUUACUUAGUUGAUAGGAUUAUUAUUAUUAAAUUGGUACCAGGGAUUGAACCCAGAGGCGCUUAACCACUGAGCCACAUCCUUAUCCCUUUUUAUAUUUUAUUUAGAGACAGGGUCUCACUGAGUUGCUUAGGGCCUCGCUCAGUUGCUGAGGCUGGCCUUGAACUCGAAAUCGUCCUGCCUCAGCCUCCCAAGCCACUGGAUUACAGGCAUGUGUUGCCUGCCUGGCUAGUUGAUAGUCUAUUUUAAAUAUCUUCCUAGUAUAGAGAGAGUGCAGCAAACAUCUUUGUACAAAAUUUUCUUUUUUGACCUUUGUCCUAUCUCCUUGGAGCUGUUUCCAAAAGUGAAUAGCUGAGUCAUAGCUUAUGUUUAUUGUCACAUCCUGCAUGAUUGCACUCCCCCAAAUGCUGUAGUUACUUACAGUAUCAUCAGAGAUGUAUGUCUGAGGUAUCUUUUGUCCAUUUCCACUGAUAAUCAUCUGUUUACUGCCGUAAACUUGAUUUUGCUUUCAUUAAUUGUUUGAUGCAAAUGUUAAUGAUCGAUAAGGCCUCUCUAUAAUCAAAGUGUGUUACAAUGCUGGUGUCUUGCACUCAUAUUGUGAGAAUCCAAAAGAGUGGAAUGUGACAAUGUAUGCUAGCAGACCUCAUUCCCUCCACAGCUGUCACUGGACACUGGGGUCCAUGGGAGAGUUUUCUCAGCAGCACAAACAGCCCCAGUUCAUGUUGGAAGUGUCCAGAGGCCACCUUUGCCCUCUGUGCUGAGCUCUGUGCAGGGUGGGUCCUGAGCAAGAUGGCUGCCUGUGCUGUGGGAGACAGCAACAGGAAGAACUCAGGUGAGGGCAGAACCUGCAGUCAGCAGAGGCUCCCAUGGUAGUUCAGGGGAAGUUAGAUUUAUGUUCUACCAAUUUCAUGUUUAGGAAUGGAAUUCUCUUGUCCUACUCAACUUUAAUAUGUGUGGAGUAGGAUGCCAGAAAUGUGUCCCAAAGCCUGGACUUGGAAAUAGAAAUCAAAAUGUGCAAACCAGAAGAGGCUUGCAGAGUGUUCUGGAAGAUUGUGGCAACAAGGAAGAUGGAACCUGUGUACUCAGGAGGCUGGCUAUGCUCUUUCCCACAGACUGAUCAUCUGUUCACGCAAUACAGGGCGUGGAAAUGUGCACUAUCAAGUUGAGGAUGGAAACAUGGCCAUGACAAUGGGAGUAGCUUUUAAACUGCUUUAUUAUAAGUGCAUUUGUAUUUUAACCUGUCAGACAAUAAAUCUGUAAUGCCAUUUUUACGUAAUGCUAUGCCUCUCUUUUAAAGUUUUGCCUACUCAGAUGUUUAAAUGUGAACAUGGCAGAGGUCAGGGAGUCUAGUGGUUAUGGGAAAGAGCCACAGAUGACUGGACUUACCAGGUUAGCCAUGCUUUUGCACUUCCUGGCAACUAUUUGGCGAGGCUUUCACAUCUUCCUAUUUAAUUCCUCACGGCAGUGUCUCUACACUCCUCCCAGCUCCUUGAGUUCCCUCCAAGUUUCACCUCACUGCUCUCAGCAGAUGACAACAUCCCCACCUUACUGAGCGUGUACCACCAGCCUUUCUCUCUUGUCCUGUUCAGGCCAGACUCCUGGGAAGGGCU
rnacentral:lncRNA from 1 species